CUCACGAAGGGCGUUCCCUCCUGCUGGGAUCAGGCAGCUCCUGGUUUUGGUCCCUGGUCCCAUCACGGCUUGUUUGUGCUGGAUGGAAGCAGGUCAGAAAGUCGCACUGGUGCUUUUUGUCCUCUCCUGGAGAAUUACGGUUACUUUUUUUUCCAGCACAGCAGCUGGAAAACAGGAAAAGCAAUAAGAGCUGUUGGCUGCUCCUUCCUAUGGCUGUGCCUUCUAGAGGUCACUAAUUAUCCACAGCUGGCUACUCUAGAGUCUGUUCCCCGUGUCCCCUGGGCCAGCAUGCUGCUUUCUCACAUGGCCCAGAGUAACAGCACUGCACAAAGCAACCAUUCAAAAUUAAUGAACUGCAACCUAAAACAUUAGCAAACGAGCUGCAGUCCUUCCCUCCUCGCUGUAACAGGAAAGUCAGCCAGCACCCAAAGAGAAUAAAAGCACUGUGCCUCUUGGAGGAUAUUUGCAUAGGACUGGCCUUAAUACCCAGCCACUCGCCCUUGUGUAUUCAAGGAAGAAAGAGGGCAGAGAAUGAUUCACAGCAGCCACAACUCAAGAGCAGGAGUUAACCUUUCCACUCUGAUUCACCUGUGAGAGAUCUGUGCCUCUUCCUCCAUAAGCUCUGGGGGAGUGGAACAUCUCAGGGUAGGGCUGGGAUCCCCCUUUUGCUUUGUUGUGUGGAGCUGGGGCAGAACACACACCUCCUAAUUCCAGCACUUGUCUCUCAGCUAAUAACAGAACUCAUGCAAUAGCUGGGUGGGUGGGAAGCGGCCAGGCCAGGAGCUG